AAUAAAUUGUUUUAAUUUUUUUUUUAUUAAUUAAUAAAUUUAAUUAUAGUUUAAAAAUUAAUUGAAAAAUUUUUGUAUAUAUAAUUUUUAGAAAAAAUAUUAAAUGAAAAUAAUUUAGUAUAUAAAAUUAAUAAAUUUAAUUAAAGUUAAUUUUAGAAAUUUUUGUAAUUUAGAUAAAUAAUUGUGCCAGCAAUCGUGGUUAUACAAUUUAUGUAAAUUAAUUAAAUAAAAUUAAAAUUGAAAUAUAAAAUUAAAUAAUUAAUAUUAAAAUUAUUAGGUGAAAUUUAUAAAUUAAAAUUUAAUUAUAUAAUUAAUUAAUUGAGUUUUUUAAAAUUUUUAUAAAACUAGGAUUAGAUACCCUAUUAUAGAAUAAAAAGUAAAAAAUUUGAAUAGUAAAUGAUUAAUCAUUAAAUUUAAAUAAUUUGGCGGUAUUUUAAUUUUAUUAGAGGAACUUGUAAAUUAAAUUGAUAUUCCACGAUAAGAAUUACUUAAAUUAAAAUUUUUAUAUUGUUGUUUAAAAAGUAUUUUUAGAAAAAAUAUUUAAUUAUAUUUUAUUUAAUAAAAAUUCAGAUCAAAAUGAGGUGAAUAUUUAAGGUUUAGUGAGUUACAAUAAAUUUUAUUUAAUUAUGGAUUUAUAAUUUUAAUAUUAUAUUGAAGGUGGAUUUAAAAGUAAAAUCAAAUAAUUAUUUGAUUUGAUUAAAAUUUUAAGAUAUGUACAAAUUGCCCGUCGUUCUCUUUGAAAAAAGGGGUAAGUCGUAACAAAGUAAAAGUACUGGAAAGUGUUUUUAG
rnacentral:ncRNA from 1 species